AUUCCAAAGACUUACAGACCAAGUCCGCAUUCUUGAUUGUACGUGUUCACCAACAGGGGGUGGCAUAAUGGUGAAAAUUCCAAGGUAAUCCCAAAGCCUCCUAUUGAUCAAGAAUUGCAAACUACCUGCCUACAAAACCAGCCUGGCUAAUUUGCAUAGUACCCUUAUAAUCACUUUAUUAACUCCUGUCCACCCUCUGGUGUGGUGGAGGUGCUAAUGAGCAGUGAAAUGAGUUAGGCGUGGGAAGUACAAGGCAUCGAAAAACAUGAUAAUUAGUCCCCAAAUAAUGGAAAUUGAGAAGGAUUUACACUUUCACACUCUGUUCCCAUUGCCCCUGCUUUACUUCUCAGUGGGGAGAGCAAAGAUACUCAGUUGCAUUCAACAAGCAUUCAUUCAGCUCCUGCUGCUGGGCUCAGGGCUGAUCCGUUACACGAAGUAAAACAUAUUAUAUAUUAUCGUUCUAGACACUAAAAGGUAGUCAACGUGGAAAGGAGGAAAAGACGCAUAAACUAAUGCUUUUUAUCUAAGUUGUAAUGUGGGCACUUCUAAGUUCCUUACUGCCCCCAUUUUUUUUUUCUAGCAUUUAGCAGGAUGAGUUAUAUAAGCACACAUUCCCCUCAAGUGUAUAUGAUCUGAGAAUGUUGAUGCAAACUCAUGUGCCCAGUGGCAGAGCCAGUAUAGAAGGAUGUAAUCUGUAACUUGUUCACAGUAGAGUCUUGUCAGCUGUGUUGAUAGAUACAAAGAUGAAAAAUAGAGAUGGAUAGAUAGAUAGAUACAUACAUACAUACAUACAUAUAUAGUUACAAAGAUAGAUACAUAGAUAGAUAGAUAUAAAUACUCUGGGAAGAGGGCCCAGGGGUCUGUAUUUAAAGCAACUCCUUGGUUGUUACUUAGUCAAGUCUGAGGAGCCCUGGACCUGAUGAUUUCUUAGAUCCUUUCAGUUCUUAAAUUCUGUCACACAUCAGGCAUAGUAAUCAUGCAUUCAAAAGCUGGGAGAAGUUGUGAAAUUUUAAAAAUGAUGACCAGGAGUUUUCCCUUGGGGUCUGCAGACAAACACAGAACUAGAAUUGCAGACCCCAGCGGUAUGCCUCUAACUUUUGAGAAAAGUGUAAAAUGUAUUUCUACCAUAACGAACGUACCCACUGUUAUUGCUAAGAACGUGACAUGGCAGAAACCAAAAUCUAAACAUUAAUAUCUCACAUCAACAGUUGUCAUGGGAAACAGAGAUUAUGAGGAUUCAUGCAGGAAUUUACCACUUGAAUAUAUUCAAAAUUGAAAAGAACACAGCCAGUGAUUCUACUCAAACAGUAACACAGUAUUUGGAAAAACAAAUGAGAUUUGGAAAACAUGGUUGCUUUAAAAAUUACCGUAAGACAUUUUUAUACUAUAGUAGUGAUUGACCUUUAAUUAUUGUUAACUCAUAUAGUGUUGUUUUAAAUUAAUUCCCUCACAUGUGUGACCAAUAUUCAAAAGUGUACCACAACAUCAAAAAAAAAAAAAAUUGAGAACCUCUGGUAGAAGACACACACUUAAAGGCAUAUACAUGAAUGAGUGUGUUAAAACAAUUUUUGAAAUAAAAAGAACAUAAUAAAAGAAUGUCCCCACCCUAAAGCUGGCCUGUGAAGAUCCUUGGUGGAGCUAGUUCUUGACUCCAAAACAUACAUGGAUCAACCAUGCCUGUCUUCUUGGUGCCCUGGAUUUCCAAGAGUGUCUUUCCACAGAUUAUGCUCUUUGAUUAUUCAUUGCAAUGGAAAAUUGGAAUUUUAGAAGUUUUUAUGCAUCAUCAAAAAUCUGUAGAGUUCAUUACCAGGUUAAUCCUACUUGCUCUAAAUAGAGGGAACCCUACUGGGCUUCCCACCUUACUCUUCAAGAGUAUUUACCACUGCCUAUUUCUCACACCAAUAGUAAUAUAUCAAAAUUUGCACUUGUGAUAUUGUGAUAUAAUAAGAAAUAUAUAUUUGGUCUUUACAUCUGAGUGCUAGGAGCACCUUUGGGUAUAAAUUUUGGUCUUAGUUCCUAGUUCUUAAUACAGGAGCUUCCAAGACAUUUCAAAUCUCUGGAGUCAUAAUAAAUAGCAUCUUUCUGUAUACAGGUAAAGUUGUUGGUAUCUAGGGGUCCUUUGACACCUUCAGGAUAGGGGCUGAUGACCAGAUUGGAGGACUGAAACUUUCAGUCCCAGCCUGAUCACUGAAGAGCUGGGAGGGGCUGAGGACUGAGUUAAUUACCGCGGGCCAAUUACUUGAUUAAUCAUGCUUGCAUAAUGAAACCCCUAAACCUCUUAAAAACCUCUAAACUAUAAGAUUCAGAGAACCCCCAAGUCCAUAAAUACAUCAAAGUGCUUGGAGAGUGGGUGCAGCCUGAGCUCCACCCCUGCUCCCUCCCCCUCACCUUGCUUUAUGCAUCUCUUCCUUUUCACUCUUCCUGAGGUAUAUCCUUUAAAAUAAACCAGCAGAUGAAAAGAGUUUUCCUGAAUUCUUUGAACUGUUGGAACAAAUUAUCAAACCCCAGGAGAGGGACACGAGAACCCUGACUUAUACAGAUGCUGGAUCAGAAGUAGGCAAGGCCUGGGGUGUUUGAAGUAGGAAAGUCUCAUGGGGCUGAGCCCUUACCCUGUGGGGUUUGCACUAAUUCUUGGUAGUUAGUGUCAGAAUUGAAGUGAAUUGUAGGAUACACAGUUGAUAUCCAGAGAGCUGGAGAAUUAAUUGGUGUGGGAGAAAAAUCCCCACAGAAGAGUUCCAAGGGCAAAAACAGAUAAGAGUAUCCUCUUCAGGACUGCUCUUUUAGGGAGUUCCCGCUGUGGCACAGCAGGCUAAGGACCCAUCGUUGUCUUUGCAGUGGUGGAGGCCUGAUGCAGUGGGUUAAAGGAUCUGAGUUUGCCACAGUGGUGGUGUAGGUUGCAGCUGUGGCUUGGAUUCAGUCCCUGGCCCAGGAACUUCCAUAGCA
ensembl:lncRNA